UAGAAUCUCAAAAUCUUAUUUCUCGCGCUGAACUCUCUCUUCUUUGCUGGGCUUUCCCUGCGUCGUCCCCACAAAAAAAGAAAAAAAAACUUUCCCUGCGUCAUCAAUGUAGCUUCCUCAUCGGUGGUUCUGGCCUCCUCGCCAAUCUCCGUUGGGUCUCUUUUCUCGCCUCCUUUCUUUCGCCACCUGUUGGCUUGAUUGGCCAUUGGUUCCAAGGAAAAACAAAGCUGCUCGCGCCGGUGGUUCCAAGAAAGAAAAUUGCUUGCGUCCUUUUUUCCGUCAACCUCCUUACUGUGGCUAGUAAUCUUUGUUGUCCCUUCUUUUAGGGUUGUUCUUGAAGAUGGAUAUGCCGAAGAUAUCAGAUGCUCCUUACCAGCUUCAUUAUCCGGCUUAUGAUAGCAAGACUGAUGCAGCUGGUGAGAAGCGGACAGUGGAGGUGGAUGUUGUAAUUGGAGCUGAUGGGGCCAAAUCCCGGGUUGCUAAUUCUAUUUCUGCUAGGGAUUAUGAGUAUUCUAUUGCCUUUCAGUCUACCUCUUCUAGAAUCAAAUCACUAGGAUAAAAGCUGCUAAUGAAGCUGAGGCGGCUUGCCAGCGGCGUCUCUCUGUUGCUGAGGCUGAAAUAGCUGAUUUAAGAGCCAAAUUGGAUACUACUGAAAGGUGGCAGAAUUGUUGGCAUUUAUGGCACAAAACCGGAGCUUUUCUUAUUGCAAAAUAGUGUAAGUAGUAGCUGAAACAAAUACACCAUUAACUCCUAUGGCUGAGCUCCUUGUGAAGAUCCCAUAUAAAAGGAAAGACUCGCAGAAAUCAGAGGUCUAUACUCCGAGGAAUGCGCCUUAUGUUAGUGAGGAAAUUGAUGUGGUUCGUGAGCAAUGGGCUAAGUUUUUUACGAGCAAGUAUUUAUUAUUAAUGGCAUGAGCGAUCGAGUUGGUUUAGAUUUUAUAGAAUAAUAUUUUAUAUUAAAAUGUAUGCGUACGUUGAAAUUGAAACAUAUAAUUAAAUGUAGUACGUGCACUUUGGAUAUGUAUACAAAACACCAAUUAUUGUUUUAAUAUUUGUUCUACA